rnacentral:rRNA from 1 species
UACGGGGGGGCAAGCGUUGUUCGGAAUUACUGGGCGUAAAGGGCUCGUAGGCGGCCAACUAAGUCAUACGAUGAAACUCCCUCGGCUUAACCGGGGAACUGCGUCUGAUACUGGAUGGCUUGAGUUCGGGAGAGGGAUGCGGAAUUCCAGGUGUAGCGGUGAAAUGCGUAGAUAUCUGGAGGAACACCGGUGGCGAAGGCGGCGUUCUGGACUGCAACUGACACUGAGGAACGAAAGCCAGGGAGCAAACGGG